rnacentral:tmRNA from 2 species
GGGGGCGACCUGGAUUCGACGGGGAUGACAAAACCUAAGGUGCAUGCCGAGUAUUCCAGUUCUCUCGUAAAAAAGAUUGGAAAAAAUUUAGUUGCUAACGAUAACAACUACGCACUAGCUGCUUAAUAACCAGUGAAUGCCGUCCGACCAGAUCCGUGCUUGUGCGUCUGGUAUCGGGCGUCGACUCUCACAAGAUCGUCCUGACGUAUGCUUGGUACAGAUGGAUUAAAACUUUAUCAAGAUCGCUCUUUGUUUUCCCUGCUCAUCGGGUAGCAUUGAGUUAAAUUAAUAGAUGAAAUAAGCAUGUAGAUCCGAGGGCGGAGUAUCUGCGGACGCGGGUUCGAUUCCCGCCGCCUCCACCA